ACCGGAAGUGAACGGUUUGUGUUGAACAACAAGGUUAAGUUUAGUUUCCUGUUUGGUGCAAAUAGAAAAGCAAUACGAUAGAAGGCCGUUGGUGUGAAAGGAACUACUGAAAUAAUUGUACCUUUGGUCUGUUGGAAUAACCACUAAAUUGGGAAGGAAAGGGGAAAGGGAGUAUGAUUUAAAUUUUCGAUUCUUCCCACCUAAACUUGAGGAUCAAGAGCACCGAUUGCAAGCUUAAAUUAAACAAUUUUGAAGAUGGUGGAUUAUUACCAGGUUUUAGGAGUGCAAAAGAGUGCAUCGCCAGAAGAAAU